GACGAACGCUGGCGGCGUGCUUAACACAUGCAAGUCGAACGGAAAGGCCCUGCUUUUGUGGGGUGCUCGAGUGGCGAACGGGUGAGUAACACGUGAGUAACCUGCCCUUGACUUUGGGAUAACUUCAGGAAACUGGGGCUAAUACCGGAUAGGAUCUCCUGCUGCAUGGUGGGGGUUGGAAAGUUUCGGCGGUUGGGGAUGGACUCGCGGCUUAUCAGCUUGUUGGUGGGGUAGUGGCUUACCAAGGCUUUGACGGGUAGCCGGCCUGAGAGGGUGACCGGCCACAAUGGGACUGAGGUACGGACCAGACUGCUACGGGAGGCAGCAGUGGGGAAUAUUGCACAAUGGGCGGAAGCCUGAUGCAGCAACGCCGCGUGCGGGAUGACGGCCUUCGGGUUGUAAACCGCUUUCGCCUGUGACGAAGCGUGAGUGACGGUAAUGGGUAAAGAAGCACCGGCUAACUACGUG
rnacentral:rRNA from 1 species